UUCAGGCUGCUUCAUAGUCAGCCUGAGGGGUGGGCAGGGCUGAGACUUGUUCUGGUGAAUGGACAGGGAUGGGUACUUUGGGGGGGGGUUGCUGAUUCAUACUCUGCCUGAGGGGUGGGCUUUGGUUUUGGCUUUAACAUUCCAUCAGAUACUGCAGCUGAGGCUGUGCUUGGCUCUCACUCAAGUUGCCUGGUUUCUUCUGAUCCCUCACCCUCACUGCCUUGACUCUGCCAGUUACAGUUCUGCCAUGGAGUUCUACCCAGAAGGGAGAUGGAAGUAAGCUGCCCCCGAGUCAGCUCUGCCUGCCAGGAGUGAGCAGAACAAGUAUUUCCCAACAUGGGACAGGCCAUGCCCGCUCCCCUGUCUUCCUUUGUUUCCUGAGAAUCUGAAGAACCAGGUACCUGGGUUCCUUUCAAUGGAUGCAAGACAGGCAGGUCAUAGACUCUGAAGCGUAAGCUGCUGUUACCCAGGGCCGAGGGUGGAGGGGACAAGUCAUCUCUUGCUCAGAGACACCAGGGCAGCAGUCUAGAACAGAAACCUCCUUACUACUGAAAUUUAACUUCUGUCAUCAAACCUUAUAAAUUCUUCUAUCAAUUCCUCACCAAAGACAUUCGAUCCUGUGUAGGUGAGGAUGUCAGAAACAGCUCCUUUUAGGGUGUGUGCGUGUGUGUGUGGGGGGUCAUUUUCCUCUCCAAAUCUCUUUGUACCAGGUGCUCAUUGAGUUUGCUGCUGGAUACUUCAUGCUCUCCCCUCCCGAGGUUUCCUGCCCAGGCGAAGGUGUGAACUGUUGAGACAGCACAGCAACUGGGUGACAGCAGGGAAACGGCAGCUGUCACUCUGCUCUCUGAUAGAGGCCAUGUGAAAGAAGCUGGCAUCCUGGCAUCCUGUACCACUCAAGAUUAACAAACAGUUCUCCCAUUCUAUGUGCUUUCGACUGAACUUCCCAAUUAAUGGGUCCUCGUGACAGAGCAAGCGUUCCUAGCAGAAACAGCCUCUAGGAGAGUAGAGAUGCCCUUCAGGUAGCACAUGGAAUGCCCACGGCCGACAGAAGACGCACCACGCAGGAGAGCAGCCUGACCCUUGAAGACAUUCACACAACUGUGUAAGAGCGGGCCGGGAGCAGUCAAAAGGGCUUCCUGGAGUUGUUGAUGCGUGAAUGGAUAGCUGAAGUCUGAAUAGAAGUUAUUCAAGUCAAAACGCGCUGGAUUAGCGCCAUCCCAUGGAUGUUUCUAAGGUCACCAUUCCAACCAAGCAAGCAGUCUAGGAGGAGGACAUCGUCCCUUUCUUCUAGUCCUGGGGCAUAACAGGACCUUGGAGGAACUCAUCUGGUGGAAACAGAGAAGCAUCGACAGUUAGCUGACUGGUAAGUUCCUCAAGAAGCUAAAACAUAUGGCUGGACCAACUGCCAUGGGGUGGGGUUUAUUGUCAGCCCUGUUUUGUAAAUGCGGAAAUAGAGACUCAAAGGGCAUGUAGGAUGGGGAAGAGGUCUAGGAUUUGAACCUGCCAUCUUCAUAUUGUUUCUGAGCUCUUCAAACUUCCAACCCCAUGUCUCCAGGUGACUGGUCUUCUUUAGACAGAACUUUGAACUGCAGCCUCAUUACCUCAGUGAUGGAAUCACACCAGGCUUCCAGGGACACAGACUUCUGUUUGGUUUAUGUCUGUGACUAUGAAUUCAAGACAUCAUACAGAGAGUGAGAGAACGAGCUAAGUAAUAGUACCGUUUGGUUCACUGAAACAGGUCAGUGAGAUGUUGUACAUCUAGAACCAGCUUGGAUCUCUACAGAGGGAGGAGACAUUUUCUGCAAAGGAGCUGGCACCCUGCUGUAAUUUCUGCAAUUGUUUGCAGUGGGGAAACAAAUGGCCCUGGUGCUUGUGGGCUGUGUGAAUUAGAACAGAGGUUCUCAAACUUGAACAUGUGUUAAGAUCUCUGUUAAGGCUUGUUAGAACACAGGUCCCUGCGACCCACCCCUAGAGUCUUCUGAUUUGGUUAGUCUGGAAUUGGGCCAACAAUUGCUUACAUGCCUCUGAUAUGGCUGCUCUCGGAACCACUCUAAAAAGCACUGGAUUAAGGUAAUACCAAUAUGGACCCAGAUAAACCCCCAUCUGUCAGCAGCCUAGGUCUGUGAAAGUAUCCUCAUUGAUUAAUGGGGGAAUGGCUAAACACAUGGCAAUAUGCUAUA
rnacentral:sRNA from 1 species